GGAGGGAUCAUUUAUACGGCUGCAUUAGCCAGGCGAUCUUCGGAUUGUCAUGCAGCCCUGACAUUGUCAGAACAGGUCAACAUCAGAAAUCUCCAUCUGGUGUUAAGACCUACUGGUAGGAGAAUGGAUGCUUUGCGAUGGAUGACUAGGGUCUUGUAUCGAUGAAGAACGCGGUUAAACGUGACAUUUAAUGUGACUUGCAACUCCCGUGAAUCAUCAAGAUUUUGAACACAUACGGAACUCUUGCUGCUUUCGAGUAGCAAGGGUACUUGCUUGUGAGUGUCAGUACCUCAUUCAUAUUAGCUCUGGGAGGUCUUUCAUCCAAUUGAGUUGGAUUUAAGAACCCUCGGCUAUCAUCAAUCUUAGGAUUGGGUACUAGAAGGAUCUUUGGUCUUUCAAAACUGAAUUUUCUGACCUCAUUUGUGAGUGGUUACCCACUGAAUUUAAGCAUAUUAGUAAGUGGAGGAAAAGAAAUCAAAAGAGAUUCUCCUAGUAGCGGCGAGCGAAAAGAGAAAAGCCCAUCCCUGAAUCCGAACAAUUGUUUGGAGUUGUAGGGUAAGAGUUGGUCGCCUGGAGGCAAAUAGAAGUAAAGUCUGUGCUUGGAAUGGCACGUCUCUUCGGAGGGCGAGACAGGGUGAUAGCCCCGUCAGCUUCUAUAAGUUUUCGAUCGGUGACCUUCUCAUGAGUAGGAUUCUUUGAAAGUAGAAUCUGAAUACGGGAGAUGAACUUCUUCUAAGGCUAAAUAUUAAUACAAGACACCGAUAGCAAACAAGUACCGAGAGGGAAAGUUGAAAAGAUUCCUGGUAAGGAGCUGAAAAAUGUCUGAAAUCGCUGAGCAAAAAGCGGAACCAACAAGUUCUAGGACUGUGGUCUUGUACAACCUGGAUUUAUCUUGGUGUACUCAAGGACUACUCAACCAACGCCAUGUCUUCUGGGCACGGUAAAAAAGCAGGUUCUUCGGUCUGAAGACUCCUGGUAAAUAUCCUUGAAGCUGAAGUCAGACACCUUGCCUCAGGCGGGGUAGACGGCUAAGGCCAUGGGGUAUUUAUCAGUAGUUCGAAAGCUAUGGCCCCUGCAAUCGUUGGUAAAGGACAUUGGAUCCGGCCCGUCUUGAAACACGGACCAAGGAGUUUGACAUAAUAGCGAGCAGUGGUGAUUUGAAAUCAUGUAUGCGUAAUGAAUGUGAUAUGUAUUAGCCUCGGCGACGUACAAGCCAAUCCAGUAGACUUCGGUCUUGGAAUUGCGUUCUAGUUAUUAUGUUAAGACCCGAAAGAUGGUGAUCUAUACUUGAACAGAUUGAAGCCAGGGUAACCUCUGGUGGAGGAUCUUGUAACGAUGUUGACGUGCAAAUCGCUCGUCGCACUUGAGUAUUGGAGCGAAAGACUCAUCGAACCAUCAGGUAGCUGGUUCCUUC
rnacentral:misc_RNA from 1 species